rnacentral:lncRNA from 1 species
CUUGGCGCUGACUGGGGCGGUGCGUCCAGCCUGCAGCUUCCCGGACCCCCAGCCCGCAGCGGGGCUGCUGGGGCCCCUUCCGCGAGCCUGGGGGCCUGGCGGAGCUGGACGAGGCUCAGGGUCACUUACAGAGAGACAGAGGACAACCCCACAGACCCCGUUUUACAGCGGAGGACGCAGAGGCACAGGUUACCUAGUUUCAAGCCACCAGUGAGAUACCACAGAGCAAACAGCUGGGAAGAGAGGCCCAGAAGUGACUCUCACCAGGCUGUGUGGUGCUCCCGCACUCCGCCGGCAGUGUCUCUCCCUAGUUGUAUGACCUGAGGCAAGUGAUUUCACCAAUGUAACCUCACUUUCUUCACCUGUAAAAUGGGCCAACACCACCUCUCCCAGGCUGUUCGUGUGAGGAUUAAAUGACUUAGUGUUGUCUCCCACUUAACUACAAUUAAUUACAUUUAAUCCUUAGAAUGGCCUUACGCAUUCUAAUUAUUUGAUUUUAUGUCAGUUUUUUCCAAUGAACUGCGAACUCCUUGAAGGCAGGGACUAUGUCACAUUUAUCUUUGUAUCCCCAGUGUCUAGUACAGAGCUUGGCACAUAGUAGGUACUCAAUAAGUGUGUCCCUUUCAAACCCAAAGCUAUAGUCCUGUGCGAGUGAAACAUGUGGUCCACCCUUCAGCCUGGGCCUUCUCUGUGAGCCUGGGGAGGGUGGACCUGUGGACCCUUGCACGGAUCCUUCCCAAGGAGCCUGCAUGGCUGGUUGAGAUUUCAGCUUUUCAAAGUCCUUCCUGGGAACCAUGUGCCGUCUGAGGGCUGGCUGUUGGAGGAUCACCCUGAGCACAUCCCCUGGGCACCUGGAGCCCCCUGCCCUGGCUGUAUAUCUGUAGAGGACAGUUUAGGGGUGGGGUCUGUAUCACAGACAUGAGCAGGUCCCUGGCUCCUCCCAGCUUCUCAAAAUUUCUGGAACAGGGUGUAGGGAACACCAAGAUAAUGAUGUCAUCACCCAAACCUAAAACAUAUGCCUAUACAUGGGAAAGGAGCCACCCUGGUCCUCUCUCCAUGAAACAUAGAAUCCAUCCUCGGUCCUGCCAGCCCUAGCUCGGAUGCGGCUUGAAAACCUCCCUGUGAGCUUCCACUGGUGAGAUGGGCUGUCCUCACAUCUUCUGUGUUCCCUGACACCUCAGCUGCUGCCACAG